rnacentral:rRNA from 1 species
UGGGGAAUUGUUCGCAAUGGGCGCAAGCCUGACGACGCAACGCCGCGUGGAGGACGAAGAUCUUCGGGUCGUAAACUCCUGUCGAGCGGGACGAACGCUUUCCGGACGAAUAAUCCGGGGAGGUGACGGUCCCGCUAAAGGAAGCCCCGGCUAACUCCGUGCCAGCAGCCGCGGUAAUACGGGGGGGGCAAGCGUUGUUCGGAAUUACUGGGCGUAAAGGGCCAGUAGGCGGCCAACUAAGUCGGAUGUGAAAUCCCCAGGCUCAACUUGGGAACUGCAUCCGAUACUGGAUGGCUUGAAUUCGGGAGAGGGAUGCAGAAUUCCAGGUGUAGCGGUGAAAUGCGUAGAUAUCUGGAGGAAUACCGGUGGCGAAGGCGGCAUCCUGGACCGACAUUGACGCUGAACGGCGAAAGCUAGGGGAGCAAAC